GACGAACGCUGGCGGCGUGCCUAAUACAUGCGAGUCGGACGCUGAAGGAGGAGCUUGCUUCUCUGGAUGAGUUGCGAACGGGUGAGUAACGCGUAGGUAACCUGCCUGGUAGCGGGGGAUAACUAUUGGAAACGAUAGCUAAUACCGCAUAAUAGUAGAUGUUGCAUGACAUUUGCUUAAAAGGUGCAAUUGCAUCACUACCAGAUGGACCUGCGUUGUAUUAGCUAGUUGGUGGGGUAACGGCUCACCAAGGCGACGAUACAUAGCCGACCUGAGAGGGUGAUCGGCCACACUGGGACUGAGACACGGCCCAGACUCCUACGGGAGGCAGCAGUAGGGAAUCUUCGGCAAGGGACGGAAGUCUGACCGAGCAACGCCGCGUGAGUGAAGAAGGGUUUCGGAUCGUAAAGCUCUGUUGUAAGAGAAGAACGAGUGUGAGAGUGGAAAGUUCACACUGUGACGGUAUCUUACCAGAAAGGGACGGCUAACUACGUG
rnacentral:rRNA from 1 species